rnacentral:lncRNA from 1 species
CGAUGAUGACUGAUGAGGGGGGCGAGGACGACGAAGACGACGAGGUUCAGGUCUUACAAUCCUCCAGAGGGCCACCGGUUCAGUCGGCAGACGACGACGAGGAUGACGAUGAAGAUGACGAUGGUGAAGGCGGAGACGACGAUGACGAUGGUGAAGGCGGAGAUGACGAUGAUGAUGACGACGACGACGAGGAGGAAAAUGAUGACGAGGAUGAAGACGGUGAAGAAGAGGUAAUAUAUGUCCAAAUUUAUAUAAUUUUCUGCAUAUACUUCAUUUCUCUCAUCUGGGACUGGGUUGCGUUCUCUGUUGGUGCCGGA